rnacentral:rRNA from 1 species
CCUACGGGUGGCUGCAGUGAGGAAUAUUGCGCAAUGGGGGAAACCCUGACGCAGCAACGCCGCGUGAGUGAGGAAGGUUUUCGGACCGUAAAGCUCUGUCGAGCGGGAAGAAGUGCAUGGUGGCUAAUAUCCAUUAUGCUUGACGGUACCGCUAAAGGAAGCACCGGCUAACUCCGUGCCAGCAGCCGCGGUAAUACGGGGAGUGCUAGCGUUGUUAGGGCGUGUUGGGGGCUGGAUAAGUCAAAUCGGCAAGCCCUGGGCUUAACCUAGGAAGUGCAUUUGAAACUGUUCAGCUUGAGUAAGGGAGAGGAAAGUGGAAUUCCUGGUGUAGAGGUGAAAUUCGUAGAUAUCAGGAGGAACACCGGUGGCGAAGGCGACUUUCUGGCCCUAUACUGACGCUGAGACGCGAGAGCGUGGGUAGCAAACAGGAUUAGAUACCCUAGUAGUC